AGCUUGAUGGCUGAACUCUGAUUGCCACCUCCUGGCUGUGUUUAACUUUCUGUUAACUGGAGCUCAUUUUUGUUUUUUCUCUUUUUAAGUUUCCAGCACUUAUGUGACAGACAAAUUCUAACUAGGUGUUUCCAAGCCUGGAGGAGACACGUUCUCUGGAAGAGGGCUGCAUCCAGGCAGCUUUACAGACAGCAACUGCUUCGGAAGGGCCUUGGUGCUUUGCAGUGGGCUGUGCACCAAAGGAGGAUGCAGCUGGAGGUAGCCCAGCAGAGAUAUGCCUCGGCUCUGCUAGCUGUCAGCUUCCGCAGGUGGAAGGACGCUGUAGCAAAAUGGAGCAAGAAGCAAGCUUCACAGCCUAAGCCAUAUUCCUGUACCCAAAGUUCAUCAGUCGGGUUUCUUGGAGUGGGAAGAUUAGCAACUAUGACAACUUCAGCUCAGCACCAGUUUACAGUAGGAUACUCAAAGGAAGCAGAGCAGGCUCGCAGGGUGGAGAGAGGACUGUGGACACAGCUUCAUCGUAGGCAGAGAGAAGAGGAGUUCUGCUGGAGAGCUCAAGCAAUCAGAGAUAUGAGACAGCUAGCUGCUUUCAGACUGUGGCGCCUGCAGAAGGAGCUACUAAGCAAAGAGGAAGCCAGGCUUUUGGAAGCCCGCGCUCUGCUGGAAAAGAAGCAGCUACGAAAAGUUUUCUGGCUGUGGCGUUCCCGAUGCUUGGAAAUGGAACAGAUUUUAGCACUGACAACUCAGAUCCAAAGAAACUUGGUCUCCCGGUGCUUCAGUGCAUGGAAGGGGACUGUUGAGCGGAAGACACUUUACAGGUGCAACCUGGCCCAUCUCAGAGCAGUAUCACUGAGGAAAUACUUCCAGCACUGGGUUCAGAUGCUGCAGGUCAGAGAAGAUGAUAAGCAGGCAAUGAUGAACUUCAUCCUUCUACAGUGGAGGCAACAUUAUGGACCAGUUAUAAGCUCAGUAGCUGACAAGACUGCAACAGAGAAGCACGAAGAUCAGCCAUUGUGGACUGUAAAGAGACGGUUUCUGGAGAAAACGGGCUACUCUUUUGAUGACUUCUGCCAAAAGAUGAAGCUCCAGAGAGUGUAUCUGCUGUGGAAAGCAAGGCUGUGUGAGCAUCAUAGAGCUGAUUUUUUCUCUCAGACUUUGGAGCAACAUAGACUCAGAAAAGCUCUGAAAUUAUGGCACCGAAAGUGUCUCACACUGAAAACAAUUGAACAAUGUCCCAAGCACUCACACAAGACUGUCUGUGAAGAACCUUUUGCCAUGCAGUUUUCUGAGGACCUAUCAACAUCUUCUGGCUUUGACAGCAGUGCUCCAGCUACUCUGGCCUCUCAAAGCUCAUUGGAAAAGGAAUACAGUUUUAGUGGCAGCAGCCAGCAGAGCUUCUCCCCGGUUCUAACUGCUGGGAAUGUCGCACACAGACCGAAUUACAGUUCUUUCCUGCAACAAGGCCAGCGUGCAGAGCUGCCAGCUGAGCUGGGUGGGGAGCUGGGCUUACAGGCCUCCUUUCCUCCACAGUGUACUGGAUCUGGAAGAAACUGGUUAGUGGGAGUUCAAUUCCAGUCUUUGGCACUGCAGAUUCCAGACAGUAAUGUCCAGCCUCUCACCAGUUACUCUACAUGGGAACAGAACUGCAGUUCUGACAAGGAAGUGAAGAGUUGCUGGCACCAAGCAGAGAAGUGCUGUCUGCAGAGGUACUUCAUUGUCUGGUCAGCUCGGACUCGGCAACUUGUAAAGGCCCAGCAGUGCUGCAGGCUCAUUCAGCUGUCUCGAGCCUUUCUCGGCUGGCACCACUGGGUUGUGGAAAAUAAGAACCAAAAAGCAGCAGCAGCAGCAGCAGCCCUAAAACAUCAAGUUCAUUACUGCCAGAUGGCUUUCAGCCUAUGGAAGAAGAGAGUGGCCCAGAAAGUGGAAGCUGACCGGAGAUUCAGGUGUCACAUUCACCAGAUGACUGCUGAUGCUCUGUGGCGUUGGCAUUCCUACUGGCAACGUGAGUUCCCCAUCCUACAGCAGCACUUGUGUUUGUAGGAGGAGGAUGCUGUGGGAAUGGUUGGAAUGGGGAAAGUUCCACUUCAGGUUG
ensembl:lncRNA